rnacentral:rRNA from 1 species
GAUGAACGCUGGCGGCGUGCUUAACACAUGCAAGUCGAACGAAGCAUUUGCGACAGAUUUUUCCGGAAUGAAGUUGCUUAUGACGGAGUGGAGGACGGGUGAGUAACGCGUGGGUAACCUGCCUUGUACUGGGGGAUAGCAGCUGGAAACGGCUGGUAAUACCGCAUAAGCGCACAAUGUUGCAUGACUUGGUGUGAAAAACUCCGGUGGUAUAGGAUGGAUCCGCGUCUUAUUAGCUAGUUGGUGAGAUAACAGCCCACCAAGGCGACGAUCAGUAGCCGACCUGAGAGGGUGACCGGCCACAUUGGGACUGAGACACGGCCCAGACUCCUACGGGAGGCAGCAGUGGGGAAUAUUGCACAAUCGAGGAAACUCUGAUGCAGCGACGCCGCGUGAGUGAAGAAGUUAUGCGUUAUGUAAAGCUCUAUCAGCAGGGAAGAUAGUGACGGUACCUGACUAAGAAGCUCCGGCUAAAUACGUG